AAUGGUAGUUUAGUUGCUUUCAUUAUAGUUCUUAUGGAACUUUUUUCUACAACAAAAUAGGCUCCAUAAUUUCACAUUAGUUUGAACCACUACAGAAAUUAUAGAGUC
rnacentral:ncRNA from 1 species